rnacentral:rRNA from 1 species
CGGCUCANCCGUGGAGGGUCAUUGGAAACUGUUAAACUUGAGUGCAGGAGAGAAAAGUGGAAUUCCUAGUGUAGCGGUGAAAUGCGUAGAGAUUAGGAGGAACGCCAGUGGCGAAGGCGGCUUUUUGGCCUGUAACUGACACUGAGGCGCGAAAGCGUGGGGGGCAAACAGGAUUAGAUACCCUGGUAGUCCACGCCGUAAACGAUGAGUGCUAAGUGUUGGUCUCAUAAGAGAUCAGUGCUGCAGCUAACGCAUUAAGCACUCCGCCUGGGGAGUACGACCGCAGGGUUGAAACUCAAAGGAAUUGACGGGGACCCGCACAAGCGGUGGAGCAUGUGGUUUAAUUCGAAGCAACGCGAAGAACCUUACCAAGUCUUGACAUACUGUGAGGACACAAGAGAUUGUGUUGUUCUGACCUUUGGUUAGACACAGAUACAGGUGGUGCAUGGUUGUCGUCAGCUCGUGUCGUGAGAUGUUGGGUUAAGUCCCGCAACGAGCGCAACCCUUAUAUCUAGUUGCCAGCAGUAAGAUGGGGACUCUAGAUAGACUGCCAGUGAUAAACUGGAGGAAGGUGGGGAUGACGUCAAAUCAUCAUGCCCCUUAUGACUUGGGCUACACACGUGCUACAAUGGAUAGGAACAAAGAGAAGCGAGCUCGCGAGAGUAAGCAAACCUCACAAAACUAUUCUCAGUUCGGAUUGUAGUCUGCAACUCGACUACAUGAAGCUGGAAUCGCUAGUAAUCGCGAAUCAGAAUGUCGCGGUGAAUACGUUCCCGGGUCUUGUACACACCGCCCGUCACACCACGAGAGUUUGUAACACCCGAAGACGGUGGCCUAACCUUUUAGGAGGGA